rnacentral:rRNA from 1 species
GGAGGAUCCAAGCGUUAUCCGGAAUCAUUGGGUUUAAAGGGUCCGUAGGCGGUUUGGUAAGUCAGUGGUGAAAGCCCAUCGCUCAACGGUGGAACGGCCAUUGAUACUGCCAGACUUGAAUUAUUAGGAAGUAACUAGAAUAUGUAGUGUAGCGGUGAAAUGCUUAGAGAUUACAUGGAAUACCAAUUGCGAAGGCAGGUUACUACUAAUUGAUUGACGCUGAUGGACGAAAGCGUGGGUAGCGAACAGGAUUAGAUACCCUGGUAGUCCACGCCGUAAACGAUGGAUACUAGCUGUUGGGAGCAAUCUCAGUGGCUAAGCGAAAGUGAUAAGUAUCCCACCUGGGGAGUACGUUCGCAAGAAUG